UGUUAGAGUGAAAAUGUGUGUCGUGACUUUAUUGACUUAUUUUAGCAAUAAUAAUUGUUAAAUAAUUAUAAAUUGUUGUUAAAUCGAUUAAUUAAAUUUUUCUGAACUGAUUGUGAUAUAAAUUAUUACAGACUUUUGUGAAUUUACGCCAAAAUUAAUAGACAUGUCAAUGACGUUGGAGCUGACAAAAGUAGCUAUUUAUUUGUUAAAUAAUGGACAAAUGAUACCAAAAAAUGUAGCUGAAACGUCUAAUGUGUCAAUGUAAUUCAUCAAACACAAUAAUUAAAACUGGGACUAAAAAGUAAUGACUAAAUUGGUUUGUCAUUCGAGUUGAAAUAAUUUUUGAGUGCAUUACAUCAAAUUAAUCUAUGGCAAAAACAUCAGUAUUGUCAAUGUAUGUGUAGUAUCAGAUUUACAUAAUGAAAAAAAAGAAUAUAAAAAAAGAGGAACUGCUUUAUUUAAUGCUAAUUUACAGCAAGCAAAUAAUUAUGGUGUCAUAAGGUACGUCGUCGGUUUUAGCUUGUGUUACCAAGUGUUUUAAAAAUGAAUCAAACUAUUUAUAAACUAUUUGACAAUUUAACAAUCAUCAAGUACCAGUGCACUUGAACCAGUAACAAAAUGAAAAAAAGAAAAAACCAAACAUCGAGACCAUCUACAUGAUAUAAUGCUUCAACAAUGAUGAAUCCCAUGAUAAUGAAAAAACAUUAUGAAUUACAACUUCAAUUAGAUUUACAAAUCAUUGAGUGUAAAUGAACACUUGAAAAGCACGAUAUGGUGCUUGUGUUACUUAUUUUAGUGCUCUUUUAAAUGUACACUUAUUCUUGUUAUUGGUGAACAUUUACUUGUUUCUGUUGAACUUUAUCAAUGUAACAAUUGACAUAAUUACAUACUGACAUAAUCACAUUUUCUUUGAUAAGCCGCUGUGUUGGUCACAGUUGAACCACAUACUGGCCUGUAGAGUUUAAAGAACGAAAUGCCUCUACUGAAAAAAAUGUUAAAGUUUUAACAUAUCAACAGCUGGCUCGAGAUCCUCUCUCUUUUCAACGUGAUAAAUCGUUUUCAAAUAAGAAUAAUAAUAAUAAUCUGUUUUAAAAAUACAACAAUAUUAAAAAGUGAAUUAUCAAGCUAAUUUAAUAUACAAAUUAGUUGAUAUAAAAAAAGAAAACUCAAUUAAUUUAUAAACUAUAUAAAUUUUUCUGUGGUGUAAAAGUAGUGAUAAUAGUAGUAGUGAAAGUAAUCAUUGUGUUGUGUAAGUACGUGUAGUGCUUGUGUUGUGUGUGAUCAUUGAGUCCGUAGUGCGGAUCAAAUAAAAUCAUCAUGAACCCUCUACAUGGCAUUGCUGAUUAGAGAGAAUCAUCGGGAACUACUACAUGACUACUUGGAGGAUUACCAACAUGGAAAGAUGAACAUCCGCUAAAAAGCCUUCUAAAGUUCGAUGUUUAAUCGCAGUGAUGCUAUAUCUUGUCAUGUUCCUAGAUCUUCAACGAUGGCACAAGACAACAAAUAACUACUGAUACAUCAUAAUGGAAAACAAUAGAAAUUCUUGCGGAAUAAAUAACAGAUGCAACAAUUCCAAAUCUUGUGACAGGCAGAGAAUAUGAAUUUAUGAUUUCAAGUCAAGAUGAAUGAUGAUAAAAUGGUUUCGUAAAUCAUUACGUGUUUUGACUCAAUCAAAAAUUGAAGAGACUAAAUCCAAGGAAGGAAACAAAGUUGAAGGAAAGCUUCUGAAUUACAAGGAACACCAGAAAAUAUUAGAGUUUAAGUAAUUGGAGAAGGAUAUUUGUUAAAGAAUAAAUUCAUCAACAAAUUAUGUUCUUAUAUGGUUUCACGAAGCAACUGAUAGUAUUUAUGGAGAAAUAAAAAUGCAGAUACUUUUCACUUAGAUUUUUUGUGUCAAUCAUCUGAAAAUAGUAAUCAAAAGUCUAAUCUCUCCUGACACAUGUAUUUGUUAUUCCAUAACAAAUUAUGAGUUCAGGUUAAAAUUGACUGCGGUGAGAAUGUCGUGCGAUACGCACUGGCCAUGUCCUAUAUGAACGCCCAAAAUUCAAGUGUUUUAACAACGAAAUCUUCAUGUGGUGCAAGUGGUUCAUUGCCAUAUGUACUGCAUGUUUGUGUUCGUCCUUGGUAAAGAUCACCAUUCAGCCAUAGACCAAAUUUUCCACUGGAAGAAAAAAAAAAGGAUACUUACUCUCCAGCACCAAUUGCCAAACUCUCAUUAUUUCCUUUGAUAAAAUAAAGAUUAUCACCAGUCCAAUUAAAUGCUUGGAAUUUUGGUGUAAACCUGAACAACAGAGAUUCACCGGUUCCAUAAAAUAAAUCACUAACACGAAGUGAGCAUGAUGUAAUGACACCAAAAACCUUGUCUUCAAUGACUAGAAGAAUUGGACUUUCAACUUUAGCUAUUUUUCUGUAUAUGCUAUUCAGACUGAAGCCAUGUUGACUUGUACUAAAUACAAGUGUCCAUAAAUAUCCUUCAG